GAUGAACGCUGGCGGCGUGCCUAAUACAUGCAAGUCGAGCGAACAGGCGAGGAGCUUGCUCCUCUGACGUUAGCGGCGGACGGGUGAGUAACACGUGGAUAACCUACCUAUAAGACUGGGAUAACUGCGGGAAACCGGAGCUAAUACCGGAUAAUAUAGUGAACCGUAUGGUUCAGUAGUGAAAGACGGUUUUGCUGUCGCUUAUAGAUGGUUCCCCUCCGCAUUAGCUAGUUGGUAAGGUAACGGCUUACCAAGGCAACGAUGCGUAGCCGACCUGAGAGGGUGAUCGGCCACACUGGAACUGAGACACGGUCCAGACUCCUGCGGGAGGCAGCAGUCGCGAAUCUGCCGCAAUGGGCGAAAGCCUGACGGAGCAACGCCGCGUGAGUGAUGAAGGUCUUCGGAUCGUAAAACUCUGUUACUAGGGAAGAACAAAUGUGUAAGUAACUAUGCACGUCUUGACGGUACCUAAUCAGAAAGCCACGGCUAACUACGUG
rnacentral:rRNA from 1 species